UAGGAUAUAGUGUACAGGCACGUUUCAUUUACACUGAAAAAGUCUUUUUUAUAAAGUGUCCUAA
rnacentral:tRNA from 1 species